AUUGAACGCUGGCGGCAGGCUUAACACAUGCAAGUCGAGCGGAGAGAGGUAGCUUGCUACUGAUCUUAGCGGCGGACGGGUGAGUAAUGCUUAGGAAUCUGCCUAUUAGUGGGGGACAACAUUUCGAAAGGAAUGCUAAUACCGCAUACGCCCUACGGGGGAAAGCAGGGGAUCUUCCGACCUUGCGCUAAUAGAUGAGCCUAAGUCGGAUUAGCUAGUUGGUGGGGUAAAGGCCUACCAAGGCGACGAUCUGUAGCGGGUCUGAGAGGAUGAUCCGUCACACUGGGACUGAGACACGGCCCAGACUCCUACGGGAGGCAGCAGUGGGGAAUAUUGGACAAUGGGCGGAAGCCUGAUCCAGCCAUGCCGCGUGUGUGAAGAAGGCCUUUUGGUUGUAAAGCACUUUAAGCGAGGAGGAGGCUCUUAAGGUUAAUACCCUUGAUGAGUGGACGUUACUCGCAGAAUAAGCACCGGCUAACUCUGUGCCAGCCGCCGCCGUAACAC
rnacentral:rRNA from 1 species